GACGAACGCUGGCGGCGUGCCUAAUACAUGCAAGUCGAGCGCAGGAAAUCGACGGAACCCUUCGGGGGGAAGUCGACGGAAUGAGCGGCGGACGGGUGAGUAACACGUAAAGAACCUGCCCUCAGGUCUGGGAUAACCACGAGAAAUCGGGGCUAAUACCGGAUGGCUCCUCGGACCGCAUGGUCCGAGGAUGAAAGGCGCUUCGGCGUCGCCUGGGGAUGGCUUUGCGGUGCAUUAGCUAGUUGGUGGGGUAAUGGCCCACCAAGGCGACGAUGCAUAGCCGACCUGAGAGGGUGAUCGGCCACACUGGGACUGAGACACGGCCCAGACUCCUACGGGAGGCAGCAGUAGGGAAUCUUCCACAAUGGACGAAAGUCUGAUGGAGCAACGCCGCGUGAACGUUGAAGGCCUUCGGGUCGUAAAGUUCUGUUGUAAGGGAAGAACAAGUGCCGCAGGCAAUGGCGGCACCUUGACGGUACCUUGCGAGAAAGCCACGGCUAACUACGUGCCAGCCGCCGCCGUAAAAC
rnacentral:rRNA from 1 species